rnacentral:rRNA from 1 species
UAAGACGAACCGUACAAACAUUAUUCGGAAUUACUGGGCUUAAAGGGUGCGUAGGCGGCGCAGAAAGUUGGGUGUGAAAUCCCUCGGCUCAACCGAGGAACUGCGCUCAAUACUGCUGUGCUUGAGGGAGACAGAGGUGAGCGGAACUUAGGGUGGAGCGGUGAAAUGCGUUGAUAUCCUAAGGAACACCGGUGGCGAAAGCGGCUCACUGGGUCUCUUCUGACGCUGAGGCACGAAAGCUAGGGUAGCGAACGGGAUUAGAUACCCCGGUAGUCCUAGCCGUAAACGAUGAGCACUGGAUUGAAGAGUCCUCCAUAACUUUUCGAUCGUAGCGAAAGUGUUAAGUGCUCCGCCUGGGGAGUAUGGUCGCAAGGCUG